rnacentral:rRNA from 1 species
GGCGGCAGGCCUAACACAUGCAAGUCGAGCGGUAACAUUUCUAGCUUGCUAGAAGAUGACGAGCGGCGGACGGGUGAGUAACGCGUAGAAAUCUACCUAGUAGUGGGGGAUAGCCCAGAGAAAUUUGGAUUAAUACCGCAUACGCCCUACGGGGGAAAGCGGGGGAUCUUCGGACCUCGUGCUAUUAGAUGAGUCUGCGUCGGAUUAGCUUGUUGGUGAGGUAAUGGCUCACCAAGGCGACGAUCCGUAGCUGGUCUGAGAGGAUGACCAGCCACACUGGAACUGAGACACGGUCCAGACUCCUACGGGAGGCAGCAGUGGGGAAUAUUGCACAAUGGGCGCAAGCCUGAUGCAGCCAUGCCGCGUGUGUGAAGAAGGCCUUAGGGUUGUAAAGCACUUUCAGCAGUGAGGAAAGGGGUGUCGUUAAUAGCGCCAUCCUGUGACGUUAGCUGCAGAAGAAGGACCGGCUAACUCCGUG